AUUUACGCGACACGCACACACGAAAACGCGGACGCGCGCGCACAGAGAUUCGACGACGGAAAUCACCGGGGCGGGACGGAAAAAACCGAAAAUUUUCAAAAAAAAACAAAAAAAAUUUAAAAAAAAAAAACCGUAAACGAGACGAAAAAACGAUCGCGGUUGUCGAGAUUAAUGUAAUGCCGAAAAAAAAUUACGAAAACACCCGAGUGUACCGCACACUGACCGCCGUCGAAGCUUGUCGUUGCGACGCCGGACCGACUGCACUCGCUAACAAUAGUGUUCGGGCCGCUGCGACGAUGCCGCGAAACGGGAACCCGACGGUUUCCGAUCGGCGCCGACAAACGGCCUCGCCGUACAGUUACCGCGGUUUUCCGAACGAUACACCUUUACUACCUCCAGUGGCGUGAAUCGGUCUCGAUUUCUGACCGCGCCUUGGAAUAUUAAAUUUUC